UCGAGAGCUUUCGGAGCUCGGCAUACUGCUCAGUAACACGUGGAUAACCUGCCCUAUUGUCUGGAAUAACCUCGGGAAACUGAGAACAAUGCCGGAUAGCCCACAAUGCCUGGAACGGUUUGUGGGUGAAGAUAGGAUGGGUCUGCGGCGUAUCAGGUCGUAGGGGGUGUAAUGGACUUCCUAGCCAUCGACGCGUACGGGUGUUGGGAGACAUAGCCCGGAGAUGGAUUCUGAGACACGAAUCCAGACCCUACGGGGUGCAGCAGGCGCGAAAACUUCACACUGCAGGAAACUGUGAUGAGGGAACUCCAAGUGCUAUCACUAUGUGGUAGCUUUUCUUAACUAUUAAUCGGUUUUGGAAUAAGGGCUGGGAAAGACCGGUGCCAGCCGCCGCGGUAAUACCGGCAGCUCAAGUGGUCGUCGCUUUUAUUGGGCCUAAAACGUCCGUCGCCGGUCUGGUGCAUUCGUGGGUAAAUCAACCCGCUCAACGGGUUGAAUUCUGCGAGCACGGCCAGACUAGGGACCGGGAGAGGUGUGGGGUACGCUCGGGGUAGGGGUAAAAUCCUGUCAUCCCGAGCGGACCACCUGUUGCGAAGGCUCCACACUAGAACGGAUCCGACGGUCAGGGACGAAGCCUAGGGGCACGAACCGGAUUAGAUACCCGGGUAGUCCUAGGUGUAAA
rnacentral:rRNA from 1 species